AAUGAUUUGUGGACCCAGGACAUACUUGAAAACGAGAGAAAUCUCAAUGUAUCUUUCCUGGUAAAAUAUUUUAUAAAUAAAUUAAUAAAUAAAUAGUUCCAGUAAGUUAACCAAACCAGGAAGUAACAGGACCAGUUGACGGACUGACAGCCAGGGUGGCGUAACAAGGGCACACCCUUCACACAUAAAGCACUUCAGCAAGCGGACGUGAUUUAA